GACGAACGCUGGCGGCGUGCUUAACACAUGCAAGUCGAACGGUGAAACCUAGCUUGCUAGGUCGGUUAGUGGCGAACGGGUGAGUAACACGUGACUAACCUGCCCCUUUCUCUGGGAUAACGCUCCGAAAGGAGUGCUAAUACCGGAUACUCACACCGAGGCACAUGCCUUGGUGUGGAAAGUUUUUCGGAAAGGGAUGGAGUCGCGGCCUAUCAGCUUGUUGGUGAGGUAACGGCUCACCAAGGCGACGACGGGUAGCCGGCCUGAGAGGGCGACCGGCCACACUGGGACUGAGACACGGCCCAGACUCCUACGGGAGGCAGCAGUGGGGAAUAUUGCACAAUGGGCGCAAGCCUGAUGCAGCGACGCCGCGUGAGGGAUGAAGGUCUUCGGAUUGUAAACCUCUUUCAGUAGGGACGAAGCGAAAGUGACGGUACCUAAAGAAGAAGCACCGGCUAACUACGUGCCAGCCGCCGCCGUAA
rnacentral:rRNA from 1 species